UCCUUCUCAUAGAACCUAAAGAAUUUGAGGAGCAACCACGAUGCUUUAUUAGCCAAAGGUGAUGAACUGAAUGCACAACUUAAAGAGGAAAGGUUAAAGUGCUUCCAUCUUCAAAAAGAAUUGCAAUCAGUAACUAUUUCAAACAGGAGGACAGAAGAGUUACAGGAAAGAAUAAAUUAUCUAGAAAAAGAGAAUGAACUCUUGAAGGAAAACUAUGAUAAGCUGCAUAAUAGUGUCUUCAGCCUGCCCUACGACCAGCAGUGGAAAUCAAAGGAGCAGCAGCUGAAGCUGCAGAUUGCCAAACUAGAGACAGCUAUCAAGUCGGAUUUAGCAGACAAAAAUGAAAUCCUUGACAAGAUUAAAGUAGAAAGAGACCAAAAGGAAAAGCUGAUGCAAGACAACAAGGACCUGCAGUUAUGCUACCUGGAACAAAAGCAACAACUAGAUGAUCUGAAAAAUCAAGUAAAGUUUUUGACCAAGUUUCAGGAAGCUGAUGUUGAUGUGGCAGAACUCAAUGAAGCUCUCGUGCUUAUAAAGG